rnacentral:rRNA from 1 species
GAUGAACGCUGGCGGCGUGCUUAAUACAUGCAAGUCGAGCGAAGCGGGGACGGGUGAGUAACCCGUGGAUAACCUCCUAUUAGACUGGUAUAACUUCGGGUAACCGGAGCUAUUCCGGAUUCUUAUCGAUUGAUCCGCGCUGCAUCGGCCGGUUGGUAAGGUAACGGCUGACCAAGGCAACGAUGCAUAGCCGACCUGAGAGGGGGAUCGGCCGCACUGGAACUGAGACCCGGUCCAGGCGCCUACGGAGGGCGGCAGUAGGGAAUCUUCCGGAAGGGGCGAGGGCCUGACGAAGCAACGCCGCGUGAGUGAUGAAGGUCUGCGGAGCGUGAGACUCAGUUAUUAGGGAAGCGGUGCCUAAUCAGAAAGCCACGGCGAAAUACGUGCCAGCAGCCGCGGUAAUAC